GAGUUUGAUCUUGGCUCAGGAUGAACGCUGGCGGCGUGCUUAACACAUGCAAGUCGAACGAGGAAUUUUAAAUGAGACUUCGGUGGAUUUUAAAAUUCUUAGUGGCGGACGGGUGAGUAACGCGUGGGCAACCUGCCCGUGUACAGGGGGGACAACAGCUGGAAACGGCUGCUAAUACCGCAUAAGACCACGGAGCCGCAUGGCUCAGUGGGAAAAACUCCGGUGGUACAGGAUGGGCCCGCGUUGGAUUAGGUAGUUGGUGAGGUAACGGCCCACCAAGCCGACGAUCCAUAGCCGACCUGAGAGGGUGACCGGCCACGUUGGGACUGAGACACGGCCCAAACUCCUACGGGAGGCAGCAGUGGGGAAUCUUCCGCAAUGGGCGAAAGCCUGACGGAGCAACGCCGCGUGAGUGAAGAAUUAUUUCGGUAUGUAAAGCUCUAUCAGCAGGGAAGAAAAUGACGGUACCUGACUAAGAAGCCCCGGCUAACUACGUGCCAGCCGCCGCCGUAAC
rnacentral:rRNA from 1 species